AUUGAACGCUAGCGGCAUGCUUAACACAUGCAAGUCGAACGGUAACAGGCCUAGCUUGCUAGGCGCUGACGAGUGGCGGACGGGUGAGUAACGCGUAGGAAUUUACCUUGUAGUGGGGGAUAACUUGGGGAAACUCAAGCUAAUACCGCAUGAGCCCGAAAGGGGAAAGUGUGGGACCGAAAGGCCACAUGCUAUGAGAUGAGCCUGCGUCAGAUUAGCUAGUUGGUAGGGUAAAGGCCUACCAAGGCGAAGAUCUGUAGCUGGUCUGAGAGGACGACCAGCCACACUGGGACUGAGGCACGGCCCAGACUCCUACGGGAGGCAGCAGUGGGGAAUAUUGGACAAUGGGCGCAAGCCUGAUCCAGCAAUGCCGCGUGUGUGAAGAAGGCCUGCGGGUUGUAAAGCACUUUCGGUGGGGAGGAAGGCGUCAUGGCUAAUAGUCAUGACGAUUGACGUUACCCACAGAAGAAGCACCGGCUAACUCUGUGCCAGCCGCCGCCGUAA
rnacentral:rRNA from 1 species